rnacentral:rRNA from 1 species
GGAUUUUCCGCAAUGGGCGAAAGCCUGACGGAGCGACGCCGCGUGGGGGAGGACGCCCUUCGGGGUGUAAACCCCUUUUGGUGGGGAAGAAGAUCUGACGGUACCCGCCGAAGAAGGCCCGGCUAACUACGUGCCAGCAGCCGCGGUAAUACGUAGGGGCCGAGCGUUGUCCGGAGUUACUGGGCGUAAAGCGCGCGCAGGCGGCCUGGCAAGCCCGCCGUGAAAGCCCCCGGCUCAACCGGGGAGGGUCGGCGGGGACUGCGAGGCUUGAGGGGGGCAGAGGCCGGUGGAAUGCCCGGUGUAGUGGUGAAAUGCGUAGAGAUCGGGCGGAACACCCGUGGCGAAGGCGGCCGGCUGGGCCGACCCUGACGCUGAGGCGCGAAGGCGUGGGGAGCGAACGG